rnacentral:misc_RNA from 1 species
AAGUCGUAACAAGGUUUCCGUAGGUGAACCUGCGGAAGGAUCAUUACCGAGUGAGGGCCCUCUGGGUCCAACCUCCCACCCGUGUUUAUCGUACCUUGUUGCUUCGGCGGGCCCGCCGCAAGGCCGCCGGGGGGCAUCUGCCCUCUGGCCCGCGCCCGCCGAAGACACCAUUGAACGCUGUCUGAAGAUUGCAGUCUGAGCAAUUAGUUAAAUAACUUAAAACUUUCAACAACGGAUCUCUUGGUUCCG